rnacentral:rRNA from 1 species
UACAGAGGGUGCGAGCGUUAAUCGGAAUUACUGGGCGUAAAGCGUGCGUAGACGGUUAUUUAAGUCGGGUGUGAAAGCCCCGGGCUCAACCUGGGAAUUGCAUUCGAGACUGAAUAGCUAGGGUACGGUAGAGGGAAGUGGAAUUUCCGGUGUAGCGGUGAAAUGCGUAGAUAUCGGAAGGAACGCCGGUGGCGAAAGCGAUCGACUGGACCUCUUCUGACGCUGAGGCGCGAAAGCCAGGGGAGCAAACGGG